rnacentral:rRNA from 1 species
CACGUAGGGGGCAAGCGUUGUCCGGAUUUAUUGGGCGUAAAGAGCUCGUAGGCGGCUCAGUAAGUCAGGUGUGAAACCUCCAGGCUCAACCUGGAGACGCCACCUGAUACUGCUGUGGCUAGAGUCCGGUAGGGGAGCGUGGAAUUCCUGGUGUAGCGGUGAAAUGCGCAGAUAUCAGGAGGAACACCAGCGGCGAAGGCGGCGCUCUGGGCCGGAACUGACGCUGAUGCGCGAAAGCGUGGGUAGCAAACAGG